UACGUAGGGUGCGAGCGUUAAUCGGAAUUACUGGGCGUAAAGCGUGCGCAGGCGGUUUUGUAAGCCAGAUGUGAAAUCCCCGGGCUUAACCUGGGAAUGGCAUUUGGGACUGCAAGGCUGGAGUGCGGCAGAGGAGACUGGAAUUCCUGGUGUAGCAGUGAAAUGCGUAGAUAUCAGGAGGAACACCGAUGGCGAAGGCAGGUCUCUGGGCUGACACUGACGCUCAUGCACGAAAGCGUGGGGAGCAAACAGG
rnacentral:rRNA from 1 species